GCAGGCAGGGUCUGAAGACAGCUUCUCUCGGCCACCGUCAUUCUCUCUCCCACUUCGCUCUUCACUUAUCGCUUCCUCGUUCCAUUUAAACAUUAGAUUCCUUCCAGCAGCGGUGUUUGCGUGAUUUCGAAGAUAAGAACACAGAAGCCCAGGGAAGAUAAGUAACCUCCCAAACAUCGCACAGCAGUACAACAAGCCAUUCUGUUUUGCUUGAACCAGGCCUGAGAGAUUGUUUCUUCAAGGAUCCCUGAGAUUAGAAUCCAAGAUCUGGGACAGAUCAUAUAUCACAGCAGCAAAGAUGGCCCCAGAAGUUCCAUGGACCCUUAUUUCUCAUCAUUUAGAAGAAUAAAGCACCUCUUUCCUCAGUUCCUCUCUUCAGGACUCCCAGUACCACUGCUUCUGGUGACAGCCCAUGGCAGGUGGGGAGGACGUGGAGAUGGAAAGAAUGAGAAGGGCAGGUGAGGCAAACGAGCAGAUGCCCCCUGCAACUGCUGAACUAUUUGCAAACAAAAUCCAUUUAAACUUCUUCUUGGGAUAAUUCACUGUCUUUUUUUUUUUUUUAUUUAAAUUGCUCCAAAGUAGAAAGGAUAGUCCUUUUCAAAGAUAGGAAGUCCAUAAGAGAGUAAAAGUUAAUCCAAUGUAAUAAACUGAAAUAAAAGAUGGGAAAUUGAGGCAGUGUUUUGUAAGUAAUGUAGAUGCUGACAUGUACUAAAAAUAUGAAGUGUUGGCUGUAUCAUGGCCUUCCAAGGUGAGUUUUUAAAAAGUGGUAGUAGUAGCCAGGUACAUUAAAAUACUUAAAAGUUUUGGAGUAAAAUAAAUAAUCUAGAUGUGUUUUCUGGCUCUCAAGCUUGCUCCUGCUGCUUGCUUAUUGGAAUUUUUUUUUUCUUUCUUGUCAUUACUUAAGCAAGGGUCGUAAUCUUUUUGAGUUUUGCUUUCUUCACUUGUCAAAUGAAAUAAUUAGACCUUUCUUGGAUGGUUGAUGCAAGGGUUAGAAGAGAUGAUGCACAUAAAACACAUGCCAGUAUAGUAGAUCCCUUAGUUUUCUAGAGUGAUAUAUAUGCUGAACAUAGGUUCGACUCCCCUUUUCCUUUAUUAGCCAUUUUUUUAAUCACUUGACAGUAUUUAAUGCAAAUGGAAACAAAAGUAGUUUAUCCAAGUAGUACAGAAUAUGAAUAGAAUUGAUAAUAAAUUAUGCUCACUGUAUUUCUGGUAAUGAAAAAGACAAGCAUAUAAAAAAUUAAUUACACUUUGUUAUGUGUCAGAAAUCCAGUAUGAAGGAAAGACAGAACUGGACACCCACUGCGUCACAAUCGCGGUGCGGCAGGCAUUUUGAGAAGAGAGAAUAUUGGGCGUCACAUUGUCACUAUCGUCCUGUCAGUCAUUGGUGACUGGGCCAUAUGAGGCCCUGGAUAGUGCACAGCUGCUCAGCACAGCACCAAACCAAAGGAUGUGGCAGGAUCUCAUGUUUGGACUAAUUUAAAAAAUUCAAAAUAAUAUUUUCCUUCAAUAGUGAAGAAAGGGGCUAAAUUAUAAAAUUUGUACCUUUAGAUUUUGUGUUCACAUUUUGAAGCUAACACACUUCCAUGUGCUCUUAUUUCUCAAAAAUAGGUUACUGGUAGAUUGAAAAAUGUUUUGGAUAUAUCUGAAAAAUAUUUCCUUUUCCUUGCAAAAUGGCGAACCUCUCUUUUAAGCCUAUGGAAAGAACAUUUAAAGGAGAGAAUUCAGUAAGUGUUUAGUUUUAUGCAGCUCUUACUACUUUGGGCCCACAAUGAAAUGACAGGUGAGGGGGUUUCAUCAGAAGAAAUCUCUGUAAGUAUGAUGAAAAACAACAACAAAACUGAAUUAAUUUACACAGCCUAACAACAUGCGAUCAUAAUUUCCCUUGGAUCCGGUUUAUUGUUGGUAAAAUUCAGACAAACCCACAUGUAUAAUUUUAAAGUACAUCUAAAGUAUAUUUUCAUGAAAUGUACAUGGUUGUGUAGUUAAAUGUUUAUGGGAACUUUUCAUUUUUUUGCCAUUCGGCCUGCUUUCAAAAUAUUCAAAUAUAUUUGGCUUUUGUAACUUUGCUAAUUAAACCUUCUAAAACAGAUGGAAUUAUAGAAAUUACAGGGUUUAAAAUAUCAUCUUAAUUGGUUUACGAUCUAUGUGACACGUAGCGCCAUUCAUACUGUAUAAAAUAGAUACGAAUGGCUCAAAGGAGAUGGCAUACCAAUUAAUUUCUUUUUAACUCUUUCAAUUAAAUUUUGUUUUCUUCGUUAUUUUCCUCCCUUUUCAUUAGCUUGGCUCGCAGCAAGUCUGAUCAACCCUGACUGUGAAGAUACAGGUUGUAAGCUGAGAUCAUAUUGGAGAGUUUCUUUUGUGACUGAGGGAUAGGGAGAAUCUGAAUUUACCUUCAAUCUAAAGAAAAUAAAUAAUCUUAAGACAAGCUUUAAGUGUGCAUAUGGCUGUCCCCUCAAGUGAUGUGCAGAUUAAUCUUUCUCCUUCUAAUGAUGAUUGCCUUAUGUGUGCAGGCAGCCAUAUUUCUCUGAUUUCCUGGAAUAGUCUUGAUUUAAAUGUCUACCUUACUGUCCCACUAAGAACACUUAGAUUUGUCAGACCGCAUGUUCCGAUUUCUGAGUUGGGAUGUGAUGCUAUAAUCUCCCUACGUAGAAUGUUGGGAGGUUUAAAUAGGCUGCUUCAUGUGUGUCUGUGUACCUUAAGAUCAAGAAUCUGGUUGAAUACAACUCAUCCAGACCUCUAAAGAUUCCAAUUUCGAGGCCAUGAUGAAGGCCUGUUAUAAUAAACCUGCUUUACCCAGCAAAAUAACAUGCGGUUUAAAAAAAAAUACCAUCGUACUAUUUGUUGGCUACUCUUGGCUAUCAAAAUUAAACUCGACUGUUUCUUUCAAAUAUAUCAAUUUGCCAUUUAGAUGUGAUUUUAAACACACUAUUCCCCUCCGUUGCCAUGGUAACAGGUUUGGGCCCUCAUGGGUGACAGAAAAGUACCAGAGUUCUGGUUCCUCUUUGAACACACACGUUCGCUGGGUUUCGCCUUGCAGCCCAAUAAGAGAGGAGGCUUGGAAUCACCACACUUCCCACAGCAAGGGCAAUCUUUAAAGGCAGUAAGGUGUGACGCUCCAGACUGGCAGCUUGGCAAGACAGAGCCCAUGGAUACCAGCACACGGGAAUCUGGACGGCUCACUCUGACAGCAGUCAGCACUGGGAACAAAAGGAAUGGAGGGAAAAAAGCGCAAAUGUAUUUUUACAUAUUGUAGGCAUAUGGCCACAAGACCAGCAGAAAUAUAUUUAAUUACCAAUUGCACGCGUUGAGGAGAAAAACAUUGGAAACGGGGAAAAAAACUGUAUACACAGCAAUAUUAUUCUAAUUUAACUUUUCACCUCAGUUUUUUUUUUUUCUUUCUUUCUUUAAUUGAAGAUGGAAGGGAAUGUGGGUUGGAAUCACAAAGGGUUAUCUUCUGGAAUUCUAUCAAAGGUGAUGUGGGAUUUUGACAUGCCUUCUUUAACAGCAUAACAUUAUAUAAAGAAAAUAGGAAAGUUUUAAUUAUUUCAAUUAUGAAAUAAUUUGACUAAGGUAUUUUGAGGGAGUGGGGCAGAUCGGAUUUGAAAUAUAACAAUUAGAGAAUCUUACUGUCGUGUUAAAAAUGUACUUUUGAUGUUACACAUUAGUUUAGGCCUCAACAGUUAAUUACUCAAUCUUGAAAAAUUAUAUUCUUGUUCUUUUCUAUGAAAGCAGAACAGUUCAACCCCCAUUUAUUGUCAGGCAUUGAGCUAGCCAAUGGAGGCACAGAGGUGAAUGAGAUAUUGUCAUCCCUGCACUGAAGAAGCAUAGCCUAGGCUGGGAGACAAAUACACGGAUGUAUAAUUAUAAUGUUAUACCAUUAAAUUAUUAAAUGUUAAAAUUAUUAGCUAAAAUCACAAUUAUAAUACAUAUAAUACCAUCUAUAUGAUGCAAUAAUGUAGCUAUAUGAAUCCAGGGGUUAUAGAGGAUUGACUCUUAGUUCAUUCCGGGUGUCAGUCACCCAGGACCAGGCAGGUGACCUCUUCCAGGAAAAGCUGAUGAAAAGGAUCAGUGAGAAAAAGCCUGAGAAGAAGGCAGUUGCAUUUUGCAGAAUGAAAGAGUUUAGGCCAGUGUGAGUCAGUUCCCUUCCUAGGGUGCUGGCUCAGGGAGUCAGGUAAUAGGGCCAGGGAAACGUGUGCCCACUGACUUGGGAAAGAGAGAGAGGCCUGCACCUCCCUCUUGACAGGAAAGAAAACCACAGCCCUGAAAAAGUAACUUGCCAGGAGUCCCCUUCUUUGUAGCAUUCCUAUCACCGACUUCCUGUUAGCCUGGGUCUCCUGUUCUUAUCCUGCUCUUUGAAAUCCUUGGUGGCCAGCGCUGGCUAUGUAGGUGACCUGUGCUCCCUGGUCCCAUGGAGGUUCUGCCCAGCUGACCAGCCUUGCAACCUGUUUCUGUAGCCCAGAUAAUGGUUCAGAGUCAUGUUAAUGUGUGCUUUGCUUUAUGUAGCAAAUAUCAUCUUGAAAAGUUUUUUUGUAAAUUUACUUUUUUUUUUUUUGUAAAGCGACCUACAUAAUAAAAGCACUAGGGGAGCUGGUUAUUUAAAGGAACCCUGUAGUGAACCUUUUCAUAAUGUAGAAGCCAUUCCUUAAUUAAUCUUUUUUUUUUUUUUUUUUCCAUCAGAUAUACCUGUGCCUCUGUGGCUUUUUUUUUUUUUUUUCUAAGAGGAAGCAGCAUAGACUAUAGUGCCAAGUGCAUGAGACUGAGGGCUAGGGCUUCCAGAGUACGUGCUGAACUUCUGCUGGCUGCCACUGGGUUGAGGAUAUGAGCAUGACCUUGGGGUCAGUUCCAUCUUCUGAAAAGGCAGAGUCAAAUGGGCUCAAGCUCAAAUCCGAGUUUUACCAUCCAUCAACUUCAUUUGGCAAUUCAUUUGUUUUCUUUGAAUGUUAGUUCUUUACCCAUGUACUAGGUGGUUACAUACUUCAAAUAAAAAAGUUUCUCCAAGGG